rnacentral:rRNA from 1 species
UCCAGACUCCUACGGGAGGCAGCAGUGAGGAAUAUUGGUCAAUGGGCGGGGGCCUGAACCAGCCAAGUCGCGUGAGGGAAGACGGUCCUAUGGAUUGUAAACCUCUUUAGGCGGGGAGCAAUGCCGGGCACGCGUGCCCGGAGGGAGAGUACCCGCAGAAUAAGCAUCGGCUAACUCCGUGCCAGCAGCCGCGGUAAUACGGAGGAUGCGAGCGUUAUCCGGAUUUAUUGGGUUUAAAGGGUGCGUAGGUUGUUUUUUAAGUCAGCGGUGAAAGUUUGUGGCUCAACCAUAAAAUUGCCGUUGAAACUGGAAGACUUGAGUGUGUUUGAGGUAGGCGGAAUGCGUGGUGUAGCGGUGAAAUGCAUAGAUAUCACGCAGAACUCCGAUUGCGAAGGCAGCUUACUAAGCCAUAACUGACACUGAAGCACGAAAGCGUGGGGAUCGAACAGGAUUAGAUACCCGGGUAAA